CAGUGUGGCACAGAAUAACCCAGUAACUCUGAUGUCAUGGCACCUGGCAGAAACAUGCCGGUGUCACUUCGGAUGCAUUCAGAUUGUAGAAACUUCACACAUCCUGACGUUAACAACUCAUCUAACUUGUCAUGUGAUAGUUUUCCGUCUGACUGAGGAAGAUUCAAGUGUUGCACAUUUCCAGCCGAGGUGUGUUUUUGGUCCUUCGGGAAAAUGAGAACAUGAAGGAUGUCUGAUAUGUGAUUCAACAACAGAUGGAGAGCAGGGUUGACUUUGUUGGUUUGGACAGCAGGUGGCGCUGCUGCAUCAACAAUCAGCGGAGACUCAAACACACAAACGUACCUUUAUCUCCUCUACAUUUCCAGCAGGCUGCAAACACUUUUAAACCCAGUCUAUAAAACCUACUGGCUGCU